rnacentral:rRNA from 1 species
UACAGAGGGUGCAAGCGUUGUUCGGAAUUAUUGGGCGUAAAGCGCGUGUAGGCGGCUCUCUAAGUCUGGUGUGAAAGCCUGGGGCUUAACCCCAGAAGUGCACUGGAUACUGGAGAGCUAGAGGGCGAGAGAGGAUAAUGGAAUUCAUGGUGUAGGGGUGAAAUCCGUAGAUAUCAUGAGGAACAUCUGUGGCGAAGGCGAUUAUCUGGCUCGCAUCUGACGCUGAGACGCGAAAGCGUGGGGAGCAAACAGG